GGGAACGGAUCGGAUUGUACGCACGCUUGCGCGUGCCGUCUGUAACCGAAAACAGGUCCAGCGUGUGGCUGAGCGUGUGUGUCUGUGCACCCUGAUCCGAGUGGCCUGGCGCUGGGGCGUGCCCGUGAGUCCCAGCCAGGUGGGUUUGCAGGUGGGGGAUCCGCGCUUACCCCAAUUUGUGGCCUUGAAGGGGGUGGAGGCGUGUGUUUGAGUGGCAUCCCUUUCCCCUGAGACGUCUCUUGAGUACCUCCUGUGGGGCCUGGGCUCCAGGCGUCUGGACCCGCCGGCCCUGCCCUAGCAGUGGGAGCCCAGACAGACCUUCUACUGGGCAGUCAGCAAAUGAACAGAGUCUGUGGCAGUGAGCACCCUGUGCAGAGAGUACGGGACCCUCAGGAGGAGGUGAAAUUUGAGUGGAGACCUGGAGGAAAGCCUGGUAGAGCAAGGGGAAAGUUUUCCGAGAAGAGGAAAUUGCAUGUGCAAAGAGGGUCCGAGCUUGGCUGGCUGAGUUAGCCGAGGAGAGGUCUUUUGGCCAGAAGGGGGCAGGCAUGGGUUCAUUCGAGCAAUUGGCAGAAGGGUGUCACUGGAAAGUGAGGAACUGCCUAUUCUUCAGGGAGGACUCAACCCAGAAACGAAGACAGACCCACCCCAAGGAACCUCGCCUACAACUUAAGACACUAGACACAGAAGAGCCUGCAGGCUUUUGAAGACAGAAAAAGGCAGAUACAGGCCAUUCCAAAGUCCAGGGAGUGACGGGGCACUGGAUUUCAGCAGCAGUAACAGCCAAAAAACAAUGAACAGAGCAGUCAGAAAGAAUUCUGGACCGAAAUAUUAAAUAAAAAGCAAAGGCAGGGACUCCCCUUCUCUGAUGGUCCAGUGGUUAAGACUCCGUGCUCCCAAUGCAGGGGGCCCAGAUUGCAAGGAAGACCCCACAUGUACAACUAAGACCUGGCACAGCCAAACACAUUAAAAAAAGAAAGAAAGAAAGAAAAAGCAAAGACAGAAUACAAGCUCUUCAGACUUAAAAAGGACCCAGAAAAUGACAAGAAUCCAGUCAACCUUUCUUAGACAUACCCAUCACUUUUCUGAAGCAAAAUAACAGAGUAAACCAAGAGCAUCAGUCUUGGGAUCCAGACAAGAGCAGAGGCACCCAGGAGCCUCUGGAGCCAUAGGAGCCUGGGUAGCACUGGAUGAACACCCAGGCCCCCUUGGAACAGGGAGGAUGGGAUUGCCAUUGGACUCUACAUGGUUCUGAAAACUCAAAAUAGUUAAGGUGGGCCACAGACCACCUGUGACUCCUGGCUGCCAGGAGCUUCUCUGAAUACACCUAAGAGAACAGGAUCUUCAUCCACCCGGGCAGUCCGAGAUGGUUGUAGCUCAGGUGUCCUUUGGAAAGCCUUCUCUUUGUUCCCUUCCCCUUUGAAGGCUGAUUCAAGCACCAUCCACCAGGACUUCCCCAUCACUACAGGUGAGCAGCUCAUUUCCAUUAGUGCUCUUCUCUUGCUUGGGGUCUGACACACAACGUGGGGUCAGUAAAUUAGCUCCCAGGCUAAUUUAGCUUGGGAGUAAAUUAGCUUCCAGGCUAGCUGGAACUGAGUUACUUGAGGGACAGCUUGCUGGGCACAGCUUCCCUGCCCCAGGAACCAUACUCCGUGGGUGGGGGGAACUCCCAGUGGGGCAGGGCUGGCCUCCAGGAGGAAGUAAGGACCAGUGAGCAAGUGCUGGGCUUAGGCAUGGAAGCAAAGGUAGGGACUGCUCCUGUAGCGCCCCCCCUCCCCCUGCCCCUUCCCCAGGGCCCUGGGUUGUGGGGCCUCAGGGGCUUUGAGUGGUCAGGCCUGUCUUCCCAGAGGAGUAAAGGGGAAGAGAAAUCCCCCGUGGGGGUUCUGAGUCAGCUGCACCGUCAUAGUGGA